rnacentral:rRNA from 1 species
GCAUAUCAAUAAGCGGAGGAAAAGAAACCAACAGGGAUUGCCCUAGUAACGGCGAAGUGAAGCGGCAACAGCUCAAAUUUGAAAUCUGGCUACUUUGUAGUCCGAGUUGUAAUUUGUAGAGGAUGCUUUUGGUGAGGUGCCUUCCGAGUUCCCUGGAACGGGACGCCAUAGAGGGUGAGAGCCCCGUACGGUUGGAUGCCAAACCUUUGUAUAGCUCCUUCAACGAGUCGAGUAGUUUGGGAAUGCUGCUCUAAAUGGGAGGUAUAUCUCUUCUAAAGCUAAAUACCGGCUAGAGACCGAUAGCGCACAAGUAGAGUGAUCGAAAGAUGAAAAGCACUUUGAAAAGAGAGUUAAACAGCACGUGAAAUUGUUGAAAGGGAAGCGCCUAUGACCAGACUUGUCUCUAUCAGUUUUGCUAGUUUUCGGACUGGUUUACUCUGUUAGUACAGGCCAGCAUCAGUUUGUUGUUAGGGAGAAAGGCUUAGGGAAUGUGGCUCCCUCGGGAGUGUUAUAGCCCUUUGCAUAAUACCUUUCGGCAGACUGAGGACCGCGCUUCGGCAAGGAUGCUGGCGUAAUGGUCAUCAGCGACCCGUCUUGAAACACGGACCAAGGAGUCAACCUUAUGUGCGAGUGUUUGGGUGUAAAACCCCAGCGCGUAAUGAACGUGAACGUAGGUGAGAGCUUCGGCGCAUCAUCGACCGAUUCUGAUGUUCUCGGAUGGAUUUGAGUAAGAGCACACAGGGUUGGACCCGAAAGAAGGUGAACUAUGCUUGUAUAGGGUGAAGCCAGAGGAAACUCUGGUGGAGGCUCGCAGCGGUUCUGACGUGCAAAUCGAUCGUCAAAUAUGAGCAUGGGGGGCGAAAGACUAAUCGAACCUUCUAGUAGCUGGUUCAGCG